UCUGGAGGAGCUUAAGUGCAAAUGUGUGAUCAGGACCCUACUGGAAACCAGGAGAUUGUGCCUGGAAUCACUAGGAACAGGUGUUAACUCUCGGUGCCAGAAGUCAGACCUUCUGUGUUGUGAUGAAGCACACAUGGAGCUGACAGCCACGUAUCACAUCAGUGAUACAUAAUUUGAAAAUCUGUGGUCCGCAGGAUGCAGCUUUAUACAGCUUCAAAGUGAAACUCGAAAUUUUCCUCAAUUGCAAGCUUCCAUGAAAAGUCCUCUGGGCUUUACAUAAAGUGUCUUCUUUCCUGUUUGACCCAAGUAUCACACCAGCAAUGAUUAUUUCACCUGAACCUCUUCAUCUGUUGCCCAUCCAAUACUGUGCUUUUAAAAUCACAUUAUUUACCUGUGGUAAGGCACCUAACUCCUGCUCUGACUAUGUAAGCUGAGAGAGGAGGGAUGGUCAGUCUUCGUGGGUAGCUCUAAGCAGCCAAGAAGCUAAGUUUCUGUAAUGUGAACCUGUGACUGAGCAGGGAAGGGAAGGGAAGCAGAAACUCCCAAGUCCCAGCCCAAUGCUUUGUAACUACUGGUCUGUCCUUCUUUCCUAAUGUUCUUGCGUUGAAGAAAGAAAGGAAUUAAUCAAUUAAUUAUGGGUUUCCAACAGCAAUAUAGUACUUAAAAUUUUAAUAAAUGUGUGUCUAUACAACAUGAAAAUAUACUUAACAAGAACCAUCCCAAUGAGUAAUCCAAGACUUAAGCAACUAACAUUAUUCUGAAAGCCAUCAUUAAAAAGUUCUUCUUCGCCUUCCCAUUUGGUCCACUGACCCUGCUAUCUGGGACCAUCCCAUCUGAACUGCUUUCUUUACCUCCUGUGUACUCCUGAGUGGUACUGAAUCAAAUGUCUACCUUUAAUCACACAGCUGAUCAAGUUGGUCAAAGUGGAUUGAAGUAAACAGUAAUGACAUUAUUCUGUGACUCAGAAGCUCAGCUGUCCAAGUACACCAUAUGGAUUUUGGCUAAUGCUCAAAGAAAGGACACAGAAAGUGGUCUUGCAAGCCAGAGUAAAUUUACCUUUUUUAUUACACCUUGUCAGAACAGCUCUGUUGAAAAUGAGGGUACAAACAAAGGAAUGUACGAGGGAACAAGUGCAGAGGGGAGGAAGGUUUCAAUUUUAUUUUGAAUGGAUAUAGAGUAGAAUAAAUUUUGCUGUGGUCACUGCUUUUAACCAUGCUGGGAGAAGAUUUAGACCAAUACCACAUAGCUUUUGAAAAUCCUUCUCUAGAUCAAUAUGCAGACAAAUUUUAAGAAGCCAUUUUUCUAUGUAACAACUAUUACACAAGCAUCUCAAAUCUUACUUUCAACAGCAAAACUGUUGGAACUGUAACAAAACUCCCCUAAUCCAAACUCGACAAUACCCUGUCUGGUGUUGUCUCCUACAAGCUGAUAUCCUGUGGGACAUUCUUUUCCUGCCUUUCAUCGCACACAGUCACUUGCAGACCACUCUCAUCUUGGCACACCAUUCCUCUACCCCUGCUUCCUCCAUUUUCUUGGAGAGCAGUGGCAAAUAGAGCCUGUUGAAGAUUAUAGAGGAUGGCAUACCCAAAGGAGUCCCAGUAAGACCCUUCCUUGAAACUUAUCCUCUGAGGUUAAACUGAGGGAGUGGCCGGACUGAUUUUCACAGAAUACCCAGGUGUCUUUUUGGAUAGAGUAGCACAACAUUAUGGCACUUCUAGGGCUGGGGUCAGAAAGAAUGGGGCUCAGCCGUAGAGAGCAGAAAGGUUAAUCAGGUCACAAAAACUUCUAGGUGAUGAUGUCCUGCUCUUAGGUUCAUUGAUCAGCCAGUGAGAGUAUUUUAUUUUUCUUGAUGAUGCAAUGUUUUUAAAUUAAUGCCUUUGGUAGAACUUAAGUGGGUGGGGAUUAUGAAAACCAGUUUGAACCGGUCUUUGGCCUUUGUGAAUGCUCCGACUCUCAUACUAAUGAUGAUUGAAUUAAUCUCUUAACAAACACGUUUGUUUUUCUAAUUCGCCUCCACACACUUAAUUACUAUAGCUGCAAACCCAACACCCAAAUAUUACAGCAGAGAUGGCACUUAGUCUUCCCUGAUCUCCGGAAAUCUCUCCACUAUUGGGAUACUUCCUGAAGUAAUUUCUGAAGCACAGUGAAUAGGGUUUCCUCUCCAGAAACAGAAUCCUGGAAGCCAAGACUAUGUCUAAGAGGAUUCACUGUCUACAAUGGAAGAUAUUUUUUUCCAGCAUGUUCUAAACAUAUUUCUGUUCACAGUUUAGUGUAAAAGUAAUUAUUUUUACUUCUGCUCUAUAGCAUUCAGUGGCCAGCCAAAGCUAAGAAGUCCCUAAAUCCUUUGAGCUGGAGGCCCCUGCUUAUAUCUGAUGGUAGUGGGGUUUUACCCAAGCUGUAACUUCAGUGUUCUGUUACUUACAACCUACUUCACAAAUGCUCAACAUUUUUCUGAGAAAAUUUCCUAGAUUGCACAAGUAUCCAGAUUCUUCCUGUAGCCCUUAAUGUUCCACUCAAAAAUCCUUUUUCAGAAAAACUUAUUGGAAGUUGUCUGAAAGAGAAGUUUCCAUGUAAGAAAGCAGAGUCAAAGAAACCUUAACAUUUUCAUGAAUAUUUGACUUAGUC